GGCAGUGGGCGCCUAAUGAGAGAAGGGGACUGAAUGGUUGCAGAACAUAGUUUGUGAUGGUGACCAAAAGCAAUGGCUUCAGACCUCCCAACAAUUAAUUGAAUGAAAUAUUUAAUCAAAUGGCUGAAUUCAGGCCUCCAAACUGUGUGACUUAAAACAUCCUUUUGCGAACAAAUAUUAAUACGUAACUCUAUUCAUUAGAACAUCUGCACUUUGCCACAGGCGACUUCAGCCUGUUUAAGGGUUAAACUUAUACAGUCAGUCUUGUAUCUGUAACGCAAUUUUUUUCAGAACAUGCUUAAUAUGAACCUUUUGCACGCGUGGACCAAAGGGCAACUCAAAAACGAUUGAUCUAUAAUAAUCUAUUGUGUGUCUUGUCACCUUAUUCUUCCUACAAAGCUUGGCCGCUGUACUUCUCCAACCCGGAGGAAGUGCUUGCGAGUCUUCCAUCUCCAGUAUCAGCUCUCUGUGGAAAACGCUUCAACCAGACAAGUCCAGAAUCCCGAGCUUGUCAAGUUUCGCUGGAAGAAUAGAAACCCUCCGUUUACGAUUCCUGUGCAUGUGAUGCAUUCGUCGGGUAAUCGUCCACUGAAGCACGUCGCCGGCACACAGUCAGCGUUUGAGGCUCUCCCAACAUCAUUGAGUAGUCGGAAUCGCGAAACUGGUCUUUUCUCGACACCGUACAGCUGUCUCUAACCCGAUCAAGUGAUACAAGAGAACUCUUUCAAAAUCCACCUUGAGUGAAUGCAUGGGCUCUCACAAUGCCCCGUUUAACCUUGAUGCGAUUUGAUGCGCCCAAUCAUUUGAAAAGAUGGCACUAACCCUGGAACCCCGCAGACGCGUCGAGCAUAUCCAUCCGGACUCUACUCUUAUCAGAGUACACAAGUUCUAUUUUCUUUCCGACUUCCCAGAUUAGUGUCGCGCCAGAACGCCGAUUAGUUGGGACGGUUCAUUUUCUUGUACAGUCAUUUUCACGGACUUCACAUGGCAUAUUCUGUAUUGCCUUUCUGCUUGGGGAAUAUCCUGAUUGUCACACUUUAGAACGGCAGUCAGAAACAUAAGAAAUAGGAGGCAGGAGUAGCCCAUUCGGCCCCUUAAGUCUGUCCCGCCAUACUAUUAGGAUCGAGGCUGUCUCUUUCAUGCCAGCUCCCCAUUUCUCUUAUGCCUACCUACCGGCUGACCCAAUUAUUAUUACGCCAUAAAAUCUAAGAUCUCGAAUGCAUUUUCUAUUGUUUUCCUUUUGCAGUCUUUGUACCACUUUUAAACAUCUCGAUGUGAACUAGUAA